rfam:Schistosoma haematobium scaffold1872_8, whole genome shotgun sequence.
GCACUGCUGAGGAGUCCCACACUCGGACGAAACGGCUGUCCAGUGC